GGAGUUACUUUAAAAGAGGCUUUAAAUUUUCCAGUGAGAAGAUUUUUAUUUUGCUACUUCUUGUGUUUUGUUUUGCAUCUUAAUUUCUAAUUUUAUUGCAGAGUGACAAAAUAAUCAGAUUUGUGUGCUUUUUGGAAUUUACUGGGAUUCCCUUUGUGGUCAGAUACAUGACUAAUUUGUAAAAGGGCCAUGGGUGCCUGGAAGAAAUGAGUCCUCACUCCACCGGGGACAAUGUGUUAUUUAUACAUAUUAGGUACAUUUCAGAACUCUAUUGUGCCUUGCACUGAAGCAAACGACUGUAUAUCUUUUUAGUGGACUGUAGCUUUUAUCAAUAUGAACUAAUCCAUGUUUACUGUAAUGUUUUCUAUUUUAUUUUUUUUUUAAUUUUGGUAAAAUGCACAUAACAUAAAGUUUGCCACUUUAACCAUUUUUAAGUGUACAGUUCUAUGGCCUUAAGUACAUCACACUGUGGUGCAACCAUCACUGCCUUCCGCCCACAGAACUCUUCUCUGUAAAACUGAAACUCUACACAUUAAGUAACAACUCGCCAUUCCUCUUUCCUCCCUGCCCGCCCCAGCAAUUGCCCCUCAACUUUCUGUCUCUGUGAACCCGAUUAUUCUACGAUCCUCAUCCUUGAGCUGCAUUGCAAAGGUCUCCAUAGUUCCCAGGCCCCAGGAAAGGGAGCACAAAGGCAGAAGAACAUUUACCUCUCCACGCUGUCACUGACUGAUGUCUCAUCUAGGACCUCCUCAAAGGCGCUUGCAGAGUCUCGCCCUGGGAGUUUUUCCUUUUCAUUUCACUGGAGCUCAUAAGGAUUGAGUCAUUUAUGAGGAUUCUGUCAUACACUCAAAAGCCAGGGGGGUGGUUUGUGAGGGUUUAUCUCCAACCAUAGCCGUGAGCUACCAUGGCUGAGACUGUGCUUGGAGGAACCAAGUAAAGCUCCCUGACCCCACAGGAAGCUG